ensembl:lncRNA
AACUGGGAGGACUGGCUUUUCCAGGCUAGUGUGUUGAGCCGAGUCCUGGUCCCAGGCGUGGGUCUGCAUGGGCCCCACUGUCUUUGAGACGAAGGUGGAUGAAGCUGCAAAAUUGGCUUUUGUUGUUUAGUCACUAAGUCGUGUCCAACUCUUUGUGACCCCAGGCGGUGUAGCCCGUUGUCCACGGGAUUUCCCAGGCAAGAAGACUGCAGUGGGCUGCCGUUUCCGCCUCCAGAUCUUCCUGACCCAGGGAUUGAACCCAGGUCUCUUGCAUUGGCAGGUUGAACCUUGGCAAGGGAAGAGGAAAGCUUCAACAUGGGCUUGAAAACAACAGAAAUUUAAAAAGUAAAUCUCCUAAGCAGAGACAUCACUUUGCUGACAAAGAUUGAAACGUGAAUUUGGUUGGCUUUGGGACCAAAGUGGUCGUCUUGGGACCAUGAAGUAAAGACUGAGGAUCGUAGACCUUUUCUCCUGCCAGCGUUCCCACCCCUCACAAUUGACCAAAGGUGUCCAUUCUACUUCCAAAACCAGGCAGAGAGGAACUGGGAAACCUGACUGCCAUUGGCAGGGUCUGCUGCUUCCCAAUAGCUUCUGCUGUGUUUGAAUGGUGUUCCUGAG